GCUGUAGUUCAGUGGUAGAGUCUUUGUUUUGCAAGCAAAAGGUUCCAAGUUUGAUCCCUGGCAUCUCCA